rnacentral:rRNA from 1 species
AAUGAAACCAGAUAUGACUUAGUGGCGGACGGGUGAGUAACACGUGAGCAACCUGCCUUUCAGAGGGGGAUAACGGCUGGAAACGGUCGCUAAUACCGCAUGAUGUGUUCGGAUGGCAUCAUCUGAACAUCAAAGAUUUAUCGCUGAAAGAUGGGCUCGCGUCUGAUUAGAUAGUUGGUGGGGUAACGGCCCACCAAGGCGACGAUCAGUAGCCGGACUGAGAGGUUGAACGGCCACAUUGGAACUGAGACACGGUCCAAACUCC